rnacentral:rRNA from 1 species
CAGUAGCCGCGGUAAUACGAAGGGUGCAAGCGUUAAUCGGAAUUACUGGGCGUAAAGCGCGCGUAGGUGGUUUGGUAAGAUGGAUGUGAAAUCCCCGGGCUCAACCUGGGAACUGCAUCCAUAACUGCCUGACUAGAGUACGGUAGAGGGUGGUGGAAUUUCCUGUGUAGCGGUGAAAUGCGUAGAUAUAGGAAGGAACACCAGUGGCGAAGGCGACCACCUGGACUGAUACUGACACUAAGGUGCGAAAGCGUGGGGAGCAAACAGGAUUAGAGACCCCUGUAGUCCCUGUCUCUUAUAC